UUUUUCAGCAAUACCCGACAAAUAUCUACUCAGAUUCUUAAAUUGCACUGUUAGUCGUGUCCCAAAAAUCUUUCAAAAGGCAACCGAUAUCAUACAUGAAUGCGUAGAUACAGUUUAUGAAGUGGAUGGUAAAUUGGAUGCUCUUUUAAUGUUUGCUUGUGACAAUAAUGUACAGGAAGACAAGGAUGUUUACGAAUGUUUGAUGGAAAAAGGCAAGGU